GAGACGCCGCUGCUUCCCACAAAUGUCCAAACUCCUGAUCCAAAGGAGGAGACUCAUGUUAAAGGUGGUCGAUCCCGUCUGGGCAUUUGGACCCUGGUUGUUUUCUGCAUCUUACUUGUCCUCAGUGGUGGAGUCAGUGGACAUUUUCUUAAACACAAGCUUAAAAAACUAAAUAUCAGGGAUUCAGACCAGCAUCACCUCCAGCCACAAGUGGAUCCACUGGAUCAGCAGGAGGGAGCUCUUCAUGAUGGACACAGAUUACCAUCAGAAGGAAAAUG